GACGAACGCUGGCGGCGUGCUUAACACAUGCAAGUCGAACGGAAAGGCCCUGCUUUUGUGGGGUGCUCGAGUGGCGAACGGGUGAGUAACACGUGAGUAACCUGCCCUUGACUUUGGGAUAACUUCAGGAAACUGGGGCUAAUACCGGAUCGGAGCUCCUGCUGCAUGGUGGGGGUUGGAAAGUUUCGGCGGUUGGGGAUGGACUCGCGGCUUAUCAGUUUGUUGGUGGGGUAGUGGCUUACCAAGGCUUUGGCGGGUAGCCGGCCUGAGAGGGUGACCGGCGACAUUGGGACUGAGAGACGGCCCAGACUCCUACGGGAGGCAGCAGUGGGGAAUAUUGCACAAUGGGCGGAAGCCUGAUGCAGCAACGCCGCGUGCGGGAUGACGGCCUUCGGGUUGUAAACCGCUUUCGCCUGUGACGAAGCGUGAGUGACGGUAAUGGGUAAAGAAGCACCGGCUAACUACGUG
rnacentral:rRNA from 1 species